rnacentral:rRNA from 1 species
CAGUCGCCACGGUAAUACAGAGGGUGCGAGCGUUAAUCGGAUUUACUGGGCGUAAAGCGUGCGUAGGCGGCUUCUUAAGUCGGAUGUGAAAUCCCUGAGCUUAACUUAGGAAUUGCAUUCGAUACUGGGAAGCUAGAGUAUGGGAGAGGAUGGUAGAAUUCCAGGUGUAGCGGUGAAAUGCGUAGAGAUCUGGAGGAAUACCGAUGGCGAAGGCAGCCAUCUGGCCUAAUACUGACGCUGAGGUACGAAAGCAUGGGGAGCAAACAGGAUUAGAUACCCCUGUAGUCCCUGUCUCUUAUAU